rnacentral:rRNA from 1 species
UACGAAGGGGGCUAGCGUUGCUCGGAAUCACUGGGCGUAAAGCGCACGUAGGCGGAUUGCUAAGUCAGGGGUGAAAUCCUGGAGCUCAACUCCAGAACUGCCUUUGAUACUGGCGAUCUCGAGUCCGGGAGAGGUGAGUGGAACUGCGAGUGUAGAGGUGAAAUUCGUAGAUAUUCGCAAGAACACCAGUGGCGAAGGCGGCUCACUGGCCCAUAACUGACGCUGAGGCACGAAAGCGUGGGGAGCAAACAGG